rnacentral:tRNA from 1 species
CGGAGGGUAGCUCAGCCUGGUAGAGCGCUAGUGUAAAAAGCUAGAGGUCACUGGUUCAAAUCCAGUCACUCCGACCA